rnacentral:lncRNA from 1 species
ACAUGAUUUGAUGCAUAGCCUGAUGUUUUCAUAAUGGCUUGAUGGGAGUGGUGCAAGAGCUUUCCAUCAAACUUUUCAAAUAGAACGGCCAAAAUAAAGGUUGGCCAGAGCCUGAGUUUGGGUAUAUCCAAACCGAAUGCUGGAGCAUCCAUGGCCGAUGCCUUUAGAGGAGAUGGCACCGAAGGCUAUGUUGUGCAGUCUUCAUAUGGCUUUAAGUUGCGGUACCAUCACCACUAUUUCCCAUUUGGGUCUAGCGAACUCG